UACGUAGGGGGCGAGCGUUGUCCGAAGUUACUGGGCGUAAAGCGCGCGUAGGCGGUUUCUUAAGUCUGGGGUGAAAGGUUCAGCGCUCAACGCGAACAGUGCCUUGGAAACUGGGGAACUUGAGUCUGGGAGGGGGCAGUGGAAUUCCUGGUGUAGCGGUGAAAUGCGUAGAUAUCAGGAGGAACACCGGUGGCGAAGGCGGCUGCCUGGCCUAAGACUGACGCUGAGGUGCGAAAGCGUGGGGAGCGAACGGG
rnacentral:rRNA from 1 species